AGCUGCGCGGUAAGCACAUAGCGAACUAUUCUUUCGCCUUUUACUAAAGAAUACCGUGUGCUUGCCGCUUUUCAAGCAGCAUACGCCUCUUUUUGGAGGAUUUUUUCCUCUUUAGGAAUU
rnacentral:snRNA from 1 species